CUCAGAAAAUGGCUGCGCUGACUGUGGAAAACUUUGCAGCGCUCCAGACCCUGCUGAAGGCCUCCUCAAAAGAUGUUGUCAGACAGCUAUGCCAAGAGAGCUUUUCCAGUUCAGCCCUUGGCUCGAAAAAGCUCUUGGAGAUCACGUGUUCCAGCUUGUCUGUGACCCAGGAGGAGGCAGAGCAACUGCUCCAGGCCCUCCACCGCCUCACCAGGCUGGCAGCGUUCCGGGACCUGUCCUCUGCAGAAGCCAUUCUGGCUCUCUUUCCUGCAAACUUCCACCAGAACCUCAAAAACCUGCUGACAAAGAUCAUCCUGGAACACAUAUCCACUUGGAGAGCUGAAGCCCAGGCAAACCUGAUCUCUCUGCCACGCCUGGUCGACCUGGACUGGAGAGUGGACAUCAAAACCGCCUCAGACAGCAUCAGCCGCAUGGUGGUCCCCACCUGCCUGCUCCAGAUGAAGAUUCAGGAAGAUCCCAGUCUGUGUGGGGACAAGCCCUGCGUCUCGGCUGUCACCAUGGAGCUGAGUAAGGAAACGCUGGACACUAUGUUAGAUGGGCUCGGCCGCAUCCGAGACCAGCUUUCUGCUGUGGCCAACAAGUGACCCCGUCAGCUGCCAGCCAUCAGCCCCACUGCCACGCCUCAGCUGCUGUCAGCGACGGAGCACCUCCCGACACCAGGCACCUGGUGGACUGCCCUGGUCGCAGCAGCUGUGGCUUACAGCAGGCGGGACGGGGGCCAGAGGGGGCUGCCAUCCAGAAGGCGCAGUUGGAUUGGGAGGAAGCAGCCACGCCCCAUGCUGUUCUCACUCAUCUUCUCUUUCCUCUUCCAAAUCUGAAUCAGCUCAUCAAAGCUAAGUCACCUGCUGGUAAAUGGCCUCGUUAGGACUUGGGCCCAGAUGUCUCCACACAGGAUGCUGCAAGGAUGUGGAACUUGGUGACGUCAGUGCUGUUUGGAAAACAGGAGAACUGAAGUGGAGAUGAGAAAUCUGCCCACCUGAUGAGACACCAGAAAAGUCCCAGGCCCCUCUUUGUCUGCUGAGCUUCCCUCUGUUAAAAUGGCAGUUCUGAGCCCCUGGGGGCCAUCCUCUCUGGCAGUCUGAUGAGAGCUGGGAUCCUUUCUGCAGGAAGUGAACAUUCUGUUUUUCACAUUCAGUGACGAGUUUAUGGACUGUGGGAGGCGGCCCACUAUUCCAGGCUGAGAGCCUUGUCAUGAAUUCAUCCCCCUCAGUUUUUCUUCUGCUUCCUAUGACCCACAAAGAUCUUCAAACCCUGUCCUAUGGGCCUCUAUAAAAACCAACUUGAAGCUGGAGCCUAGCAUAGGUAUCUGGGGACUUGGACAUUCCUUUAGCCAGACCCACCUGAACAGAAGCAACCAGGUGUAUAACAGGGCAUUCAGUAACUGGAAUAUUCAGUAAAUGUUUGCCACCCUUCA